GGCGUACUCGUUGAUCAGGCCCAACUUGUCUCAAAGGAGCUUAUCAGGGUUGCAAUACUUUGGCAUGAAAUGUGGCAUGAGGCAUUGGAAGAGGCCAGUCGUCUGUAUUUUGGUGAACACAACAUUGAGGGCAUGCUGAAGGUGUUAGAGCCUCUGCAUGAAAUGCUUGAGGAAGGAGCGAUGCGGAAUAAUACUACUAUGAAGGAGAAAGCAUUCAUCCAGGCAUACCGUAUUGAGUUGUUGGAGGCCUAUGAAUGCUGUAUGAAGUAUCGGAGAACAGGAAAAGAUGCUGAAUUAAUACAGGCUUGGGAUCUCUAUUACCAUGUAUUCAGGCGGAUAGAUAAGCAGCUUCAAACACUCACUACGCUGGAUUUACAGUCCGUUUCCCCCGAGUUGCUAGAAUGUCGAGAUUUAGAGCUAGCUGUUCCUGGAACUUAUCGAGCAGAUACACCAGUGGUGACAAUUGCAUCAUUUGCACCCCAACUUGUUGUAAUUACAUCCAAACAACGACCUCGUAAAUUGACAAUCCAUGGGAGUGAUGGAAAAGACUAUGCUUUCUUGCUCAAAGGGCAUGAAGAUUUACGCCAAGAUGAACGUGUCAUGCAGUUGUUUGGUCUGGUUAAUACUUUGCUGGAGAACUCGAGAAAGACUGCAGAGAAAGAUUUAUCAAUUCAACGAUAUGAUGUCAUUCCAUUGUCCCCUAAUAGUGGACUGAUAGAAUGGGUUCCAAAUUGUGACACCUUGCACCAACUUAUUCGAGAAUAUAGGGAUGCUCGGAAGAUCACCCUAAAUCAAGAGCAUAAAUUGAUGCUGAGUUUUGCACCGGAUUAUGAUAAUUUGCCACUUAUUGCUAAGGUGGAGGUGUUUGAAUAUGCACUGCAAAAUACAGAAGGGAAUGACUUAUCAAGGGUUCUUUGGUUAAAGAGUCGCACUUCUGAGGUCUGGCUGGACAGAAGAACAAAUUAUACAAGAAGUUUGGCUGUCAUGAGCAUGGUUGGAUACUUACUUGGUUUGGGCGAUCGACAUCCUAGUAACCUCAUGCUUCACCGAUUUAGUGGGAAGAUUCUGCAUAUUGAUUUUGGAGAUUGUUUUGAAGCUUCAAUGAAUAGGGAGAAGUUUCCAGAGAAGGUUCCGUUUCGCCUCACUAGGAUGCUUGUAAAAGCAAUGGAGGUCAGUGGUAUAGAGGGAAAUUUCCGGUCAACAUGUGAGAAUGUAAUGCAAGUUCUCCGACUGCAUAAAGAUAGUGUUAUGGCUAUGAUGGAGGCCUUUGUUCAUGACCCACUUAUAAAUUGGCGUCUUUUCAAUUUCAAUGAAGUUCCGCAAAUGUCCACACUUGCCAGUGCACAUGUGCCUCCUGUUGUGAAUAGUGAGGAUUCCUCUUCAGAUAGAGAGCUUCUUCAACCACAAAGGGGUGCAAGGGAGAGAGAACUGCUUCAGGCGGUCAAUCAAUUAGGUGAUGCCAAUGAAGUUCUAAAUGAACGUGCUGUGGCUGUCAUGGCUCGAAUGAGUAAUAAACUCACUGGACGUGAUUUUGCUGCUACCUCUGCAUCUUCAAGCUCUCUACAGCAUCCACUGGAUCACAGUACGUUGAUUUCUGGAGAGACGCGUGAAGCUGAUCAUGGUUUAUCAGUGAAAUUACAAGUCCAAAAACUUAUUCAGCAAGCAAUGUCUCAUGAAAAUCUUUGCCAAAAUUAUGUUGGGUGGUGUCCAUUUUGGUAGGUUAAGGGUGAUAAUUAUCUGUAUAUUUGUACAGUGUUUGAUCCUUUGUAGAAGUUCUUGGAAGAAGUCCAGCAUGUACAGAACUUAGGUUUUAUGUAAAGUCCUAAGUUUGUGGUAGCCAGUUGUUGUAUUAAGCAAGGUAGCGUAUCGGCAGCAUGUAAUCUAGCUCCAACAAUAAGACUGGUUAGAGUCUGAGAAUGGUGAAUAUUUAUUCUGUACAGCUAUUUACAUAGUGAAAUGAACCCUUGUGAAGAGGAUAAAGUUGGUUGUC
rnacentral:misc_RNA from 1 species